GGUGGGCGGGGCAAGGGAUCUGUCCCACACCGCGAAGAGUGGUCGGAACCAGCUCUCGUCUUCUUCCCCUUCCCCUUCCCCUCCCAGGAAAAGCUGGGACCCGGCACCCUGGCUAUCCCUUGGCCGCUGCGGCCUCAGCUCCAGCCAGGCCUGGGUACGGAGAGUCCAGACCGCUUCCAGGGCGAGUGCUCCUGAUUGUGACAUCACAUCCAUCCCCUUGGCAAUGGAGCUUGUCCCUAGGAAGGAAGACUCAGUCGGAGAAUAGCCAACAAGAUGGGUUACUGGGAAUGUCUCCUGAGUGGCACUGAGUGGAAGCAUCAGGGGGUUGGAGCCUUGUGAACAGGGAACCUGCCCCCAACACUUGGAAGGACCUGGGUUUCAGUGAUGAGACAUGGGGUAUGAUGUAACCCGUUUCCAGGGGGAUGUUGACGAAGACCUUAUCUGUCCUAUUUGCAGUGGAGUCUUGGAGGAGCCAGUCCAGGCGCCUCACUGCGAGCAUGCUUUCUGCAACGCCUGCAUCACCCAGUGGUUCUCUCAGCAGCAGACGUGUCCGGUGGACCGGAGUGUUGUGACGGUCGCUCACCUGCGCCCAGUACCUCGGAUCAUGCGGAACAUGUUGUCAAAGCUGCAGAUCGCCUGCGACAACGCUGUGUUUGGCUGCAGUGCUAUUGUCCGGCUUGACAACCUCAUGUCUCACCUCAGUGACUGUGAGCACAACCCAAAACGGCCUGUGACCUGUGAACAGGGCUGUGGCCUGGAGAUGCCCAAAGAUGAGCUGCCAAACCACAACUGCAUUAAGCACCUGCGCUCAGUGGCACAGCAGCAGCAGACACGGAUUGCAGAGCUGGAGAAGACCUCAGCGGAACACAAACACCAGCUGGCAGAGCAGAAGCGAGACAUCCAGCUGCUCAAGGCGUACAUGCGUGCAAUUCGCAGUGUCAACCCCAACCUUCAGAGCCUGGAGGAGACGAUUGAGUACAACGAGAUCCUAGAGUGGGUGAACUCCCUGCAGCCAGCACGAGUGACCCGCUGGGGAGGGAUGAUCUCCACCCCAGAUGCUGUACUCCAGGCUGUAAUCAAGCGCUCCCUGGUGGAGAGUGGCUGUCCUGCGUCUAUUGUCAACGAGCUGAUCGAAAAUGCCCAUGAGCGUAGCUGGCCCCAGGGUCUGGCCACACUAGAGACAAGACAGAUGAACCGGCGUUACUAUGAGAACUACGUGGCCAAGCGCAUCCCUGGCAAGCAGGCUGUUGUUGUGAUGGCCUGUGAGAACCAGCACAUGGGUGAUGACAUGGUGCAGGAGCCAGGGCUUGUCAUGAUAUUUGCGCAUGGCGUGGAAGAGAUAUAGGAGAUCUCGACGGGCUAUCUGGAAGAGAUGAAAAUCAGAAAAUACUGUCACUCCAGCAGCGGGGUCCUGAGUCCUCCCCACUUUCCUUAAUACCGUGGCUAACGCUAGAGCCACACAUCUCCCUGCUCUUCUGCCACUGAAGAGGGCCCCAGGGCACUCUGCUCAGGCUUUCAGGAAAGGCUAAGGGAGUCCUUGGCUGAACUGAAGUCUGCCCCAGUCCUCCAUAACCCAUCUGAGAUGAGGAGCUUCCUCUAUUCCAGUGAUGGAUGUGACAGUCCAGCAUCAAUGACUGUGCCCUGUGGAGAACUUUGCUCCCAGCCCAUCUAGGGUCUCACUGUAAAACUCUGGACUUCGAGUAUUAAUUUUGAAGAAAUCCUGCCCGCCACUCCCCCCAACACCCGGUUUCCUUGGAGAUAUAUAUAUAGCUGGGUUCUAAGCUUCAUCAGGCAAGAUGGGAUAGAAAUUAUGUCUCUGAGUACAGGCUGUGCUGUCUCACCCAUACCCCCUUACGACUUCAGCUGCAUUUCGGGAUGCCCAGGGCAUUCCUUAAUCCCUGGGGUGACUAGCAGAGUAAGAGAAGGGGAGGAAUAGUGGGUAUGAUUAUCUUGAUAUGCAGGUGGAAGUGGGGCUGGAGAGAGAUGGCCAUAAAGCUUCUCUUUUUGGAGCUUUUUUCCAGGCCAGCUUGCGGUAGGUCUGGGUAGCUGGGUCAUGGCUCCACUGGAACUGUGGGGAGGAGGGAAUACAGCUUGAAGGGGGUGAGGAACAGUCAUAUGUUCCAGCUCCAGGACAUUGUGCUCAGGAAUUUGAAAACGCUGCUAUACUUAGUCUGGUUACUACAUUUCUUCCACUCCCCUCUGCCCCUGCCUGCCUUACCCAGGCCCAUACCCUCCUGUUGUCACCCUAAGAUGGAGCCAGGAAGCUCAGUUAAGGCUUCCCUACCCUUUGCACUAGUGUCUCUGCAGGUUGCUAGUUGUGUUAUAUAUGUGCUGUUCCAUGGUGUUGACUGCACUAAUAAUAAAUCUUUUACUCAACUCUCUCAAUUCUUAAUUCACAUCACUCCCCUCAUGAAGGUUCUCCUCUGCUUUGGCCUUUCUCUCACCUUAAUUCCCCUGACUUCUUCCUUGCUUUGUAACCUACUCUUGUCUUAGAACUAACCUCUGUUUUAGGAGGAGUUCUAUCUGGGAGGGGUGUGCACCUCAUAUAUUCUUUGCCUUGUGUACCCUCCUACAUCCUUCCCUCCUGACUCCUGUUCUGCACAGCUGAAGCACUCUCACCUGUCAUCUGAAUUGUGUUCUUUUCAGGGUUUACCUUUGCUCCAUAUCCAUGUCUUCCCUAUGUGUUCUGGGAUUUGGGGACAUUUUCUAUAGACGAUAUGCAAGUACCUUUCCCCCUUGUCCCACAAGCACCUUUGCUUUGGAAUCUGGGAUUCCAUUGAAGGCAGGGAAGCCUCCACCCCCAGUGUCUCCUAACCAAGAAAGUACACAGGAGGAAAGGAACCUGGAAUGACUGCACCUGCUGUGGUUGUCAAAUCUUGAUAAAUCCUUUUGUAGGCAUUUGCUGCCACCUCCCUAUCAUGAGAAAAAAACUUUUACCACAGUGUACCAUA